ensembl:lncRNA
GGAGACUAAGAAGGUUGCUCAUGGUUGGUUAAUGGAUGACUAGGAGACUAAGAAGGUUGCUCAUGGUUGGUUAGUGGAUGACUAGGAGACUAAGAAGGUUGCUCAUGGUUGGUUAGUGGAUGACUAGAAGAGGGUUGCUCAUGGUUGGUUAGUGGAUGACUAGGAGAGGGUGGCCCACUCACCGGGGUUCCCCUGGGUCCAUGGCCCCCAAUGUUGCCUGGGGGUCCUGGUGGGCCCCGCGCACCCGCCAUACCUGGGGCUCCGCUAAUUCCUUGAUGACCCUAUAAAUAAAUAAAUAAACAAUCAAACAAAUAAACAAAUAAACAAAUGCUGUUAUUAUCAUUAUUGU